UUGGUGGCGACGAGGUGGGGUGGGCGGCGGAGGGGGGCUGGGCAUGAGGGGCAGCCGCCCGGUGGUGUGGUACGUAGUGGUAAUAGUACGCGCCCCGCUCCGAAGCAAAGAAAAAGGUGCGUGCCGCACUCACGAGGGACUGCCAGUGAGAUACUGGAGGAAGGUGGGGAUGACGUCAAGUCCGCAUGGCCCUUAUGGGCUGGGCCACACACGUGCUACAAUGGCAAUGACAAUGGGAAGCAAGGCUGUAAGGCGGAGCGA
rnacentral:ncRNA from 1 species